UGGGGAAUAUUGGGCAAUGGACGCAAGUCUGACCCAGCAACGCCGCAUGAAGGAAGAAGGCUUUCGGGUUGUAAACUUCUUUUAAGAGGGAACAGCAGAAGAGGGUACCUCUUGAAUAAGCCACGGCUAACUACGUGCCAGCAGCCGCGGUAAUACGUAGGUGGCAAGCGUUGUCCGGAUUUACUGGGUGUAAAGGGCGUGCAGCCGGGUCUGCAAGUCAGAUGUGAAAUCCGUGGGCUCAACCCACGAACUGCAUUUGAAACUGUGGAUCUUGAGUACUGGAGAGGCAGAUGGAAUUCCUAGUGUAGCGGUGAAAUGCGUAGAUAUUAGGAGGAACACCAGUGGCGAAGGCGAUCUGCUGGACAGCAACUG
rnacentral:rRNA from 1 species